rnacentral:rRNA from 1 species
AUUGAACGCUGGCGGCAUGCCUUACACAUGCAAGUCGAACGGUAACAGGUCUUCGGAUGCUGACGAGUGGCGAACGGGUGAGUAAUACAUCGGAACGUGCCCGAUCGUGGGGGAUAACGGAGCGAAAGCUUUGCUAAUACCGCAUACGAUCUACGGAUGAAAGCAGGGGACCGCAAGGCCUUGCGCGGACGGAGCGGCCGAUGGCAGAUGAGGUAGUUGGUGGGAUAAAAGCUUACCAAGCCGAGGAACUGUAGCUGGUCUGAGAGGACGACCAGCCACACUGGGACUGAGACACGGCCCAGACUCCUACGGGAGGCAGCAGUGGGGAAUUUUGGACAAUGGGCGAAAGCCUGAUCCAGCCAUGCCGCGUGCAGGAUGAAGGCCUUCGGGUUGUAAACUGCUUUUGUACGGAACGAAAAGACUCUUUCUAAUAAAGAGGGUCCAUGACGGUACCGUAAGAAUAAGCACCGGCUAACUACGUGCCAGCCGCCGCGGUAACAC